rnacentral:rRNA from 1 species
AGAUUGAACGCUGGCGGCAUGCCUUACACAUGCAAGUCGAACGGCAGCACGGGAGCAAUCCUGGUGGCGAGUGGCGAACGGGUGAGUAAUAUAUCGGAACGUGCCCAGUCGUGGGGGAUAACGCAGCGAAAGCUGUGCUAAUACCGCAUACGAUCUAUGGAUGAAAGCGGGGGAUCGCAAGACCUCGCGCGAUUGGAGCGGCCGAUAUCAGAUUAGGUAGUUGGUGGGGUAAAGGCUCACCAAGCCGACGAUCUGUAGCUGGUCUGAGAGGACGACCAGCCACACUGGAACUGAGACACGGUCCAGACUCCUACGGGAGCAGCAGUGGGGAAUUUGGACAAGU